rnacentral:rRNA from 1 species
GACGAACCGAUGCGAACGUUGUUCGGAAUCACUGGGCUUAAAGGGCGCGUAGGUGGUUUGCCAAGUCGGGGUUGAAAUCUUUCGGCUCAACCGGAAAAGUGGCUUCGAUACUGGCAAGCUGGAGGGAGGUAGGGGCGGAUGGAACUUCCGGUGGGAGCGGUGAAAUGGUGUUGAUAUCGGAAGGAACGCCGGUGGCGAAAGACGAUCCGCUGGACCUCUUCUGAACACGUGAG